rnacentral:rRNA from 1 species
CAGUAGCCACGGUAAUACGUAGGUCCCGAGCGUUGUCCGGAUUUAUUGGGCGUAAAGCGAGCGCAGGCGGUUGGAUAAGUCUGAAGUUAAAGGCUGUGGCUUAACCAUAGUACGCUUUGGAAACUGUUUAACUUGAGUGCAAGAGGGGAGAGUGGAAUUCCAUGUGUAGCGGUGAAAUGCGUAGAUAUAUGGAGGAACACCGGUGGCGAAAGCGGCUCUCUGGCUUGUAACUGACGCUGAGGCUCGAAAGCGUGGGGAGCAAACAGGAUUAGAUACCCGCGUAGUCCCUGUCUCUUAUACA